CCCUUAGAUGUCCGGGGCCGCACGCGCGCUACACUGAAGGAAUCAGCGUGCUAAAACCAUUGUCGAAAGGCAUUGGUAAACCCAUUAAAAUCCUACGUGAUUGGGAUCGGGAAUUGCAAUUAUUUCCCUUGAACGAGGAAUUCCCAGUAAGUGUGGGUCAUAAGCUCGCGUUGAUUACGUCCCUGCCCUUUGUACACACCGCCCGUCGCUGCCCGGGACUGAGCCGUUUCGAGAAAAGCGGGGACUGCUGCUGUCGGGGCUUUCGGGCCUUGGCUUCGGUGGAAACCGCUUUAAUCGCAGUGGCUUGAACCGGGCAAAAGUCGUAACA
rnacentral:rRNA from 1 species